rnacentral:lncRNA from 1 species
AACUGGUCAGGCAUGAAAUGCCAGUUCAAGCUACUACGGAUGGCUGUGGCCUUAAUCUGUAUGAGCAUGGAGUUUGGGCGGGCUGUAUGGCUCCGCUGCCACCCAUCAGCUUACCCUCCAUGCCCUCACCCGAGCUUCGUGGCACACUUGGGGGGUGUUGCUGUGGGCAUCACCUUGGGCGUAGUGGUCCUGAGGAACUACGAGCAGAGGCUACAGGACCAGACCCUGUGGUGGAUUUUUGUGGCCAUGUACACCAUCUUCGUACUGUUUGCUGUCUUCUGGAACAUAUUUGCCUACACCCUGCUGGACUUGAAGCUGCCACCCCCACCCUGAGGGGCUGGAGAAUGGAGGUGGGGAGGCGAGGGAACAGCAGCAUGCAGAGGGAGCAUCUGCAUCUAUUUCUCAUACCAGCUCUGUGAGACCCGGGAUAGAGGACAGAGACUGGGUCGCUGGGAUAUUUGUGUUUAGAUUUGAACAGGCAAUGGAGGCGGUUUUCUAAAAGGCACUGGUGGAGGAGUUGCAUGUGGCUGCCAUCAUUUUUCUUGACUAUUCUAAAGACAUCAUGCUAGAGUGAAGGCCUGGGGUUGGGUGAGAGUGGCCCAUCCCCCCAAGCUGGGCUCAUGCCACAUGGUUGCAUGUGCUCCCCUCUCCCUGCCACAGACCAAGCAGCAGCCCUUUCCCUCAUCCUUCAUGAGGAGAGAUCCUGAGAGACAGGGAACCUCUGAGGUUGCCCAGAGAUAACUUCAUGCCAGGCAGUGUUACCUCUGCAGCUUGGGGUGAGAAGAGGGCCUGGUGCUGGCUAUGUUGGCUUUGACUUCUGAACCAGGGUGAUCUCCUGGGCUGCCUGUGGGUGCUAGGGCAUGGCUUCUAGGGCCUGCACUGGGCACAGCAGGGGAGACGCUGAAGGCCUCACUCUUGCCUCGCAGGGCCAGUGAAGGGAUCCAAACUGGGGGAAUGAAGUUUAUCCCAAGUUCCCCCUGGGGAAGGCCUAGAACCUACUUUAGAGUAUUCCCUCCCUGCUAUCCAGAAUGCUGGCAUCUCACACCAGUGCCCCAGGUUCACGCUCUGCUUGGACUUUAAGGUCUUUCUUUCUCUUCACUGCCCUUUCCUUACUUUGUGCUUCUCCUUUGGGUAUAGAGACAGUGUUUUGGUGUGAGUGUGUGUGUGUGUGUGGGAGAGUGAGAGAUGGGAAAGACAAUAUGAGGGACGUAGGAGCCUCAGAGUAAGGGAGGGACAGUGAGGGUAUGAGGGUGUUUGUGUAAGAGAAGAGAUGGUACUGGGAAGGGGAGCCAUGGUAUGCUGUGGUAUGGUCACUGAAUGUCCUUAAUUUUAGCACAGCUGCCCCCUUCUUUCCCAUCUCCUGUCCCUUCCAGACACCUCCCUGAGCAUCAACUGACUGUAGGAAAAACUGUCCAUGCU